ensembl:misc_RNA Metazoa_SRP Metazoan signal recognition particle RNA
GCUGGGCGUGGUGGUGCACGCCUGUAAUCCCAGCUACUCGGGAGGCUGAGGUAGGAGAAUUGCUUGAACCCAGGAGGCGGAGGUUGCGGUGAGCUGAGAUCGUGCACCACUGCACUCCAGCUCAGGCCUGGGCAACAGAGCAAGACUCUGCCUCAA